UGCGUAGGCGGCGGCGUAAGUCAGUUGUGAAAUUCCCCGGCUUAACCGGCGGAAGUGCGAUUGAUACUGUGUCGCUUGAAUCAGGUUGAGGUAGGCGGAAUGUGGCAUGUAGCGGUGAAAUGCAUAGAUAUGCCAUAGAACACCGAUUGCGAAGGCAGCUUGCUGGACCUGUAUUGACGCUGAGGCACGAAAGCGUGGGGAGCAAACAGGAUUAGAUACCCUGGUAGUCC
rnacentral:rRNA from 1 species